UACGAAGGGGGCUAGCGUUGUUCGGAAUUACUGGGCGUAAAGCGCACGUAGGCGGAUACUUAAGUCAGGGGUGAAAUCCCGGGGCUCAACCCUGGAACUGCCUUUGAUACUGGGUAUCUCGAGUCCGGAAGAGGUGAGUGGAAUUCCGAGUGUAGAGGUGAAAUUCGUAGAUAUUCGGAGGAACAUCAGUGGCGAAGGCGGCUCACUGGUCUGGUACUGACGCUGAGGUGCGAAAGCGUGGGGAGCAAACAGGG
rnacentral:rRNA from 1 species